GUCCGUAUCAGUCGCACGUUGCGCGGUUAGGUAAAGCGACCGUUUCUCUCUUGCACACUUGCGAGAGCUCUCUCUUUGUCUACUGUUUACAUUUUUUAUAUUCAUCUGUCAUUCAUAUUAGACGUGAUAAAUAGCAAAAUGUUUGUUUCCCAUGAAGUUUUGACUGUUUUCGCCAUUUCAGCGGUAUUAUCGUUUUCCAUAUCGGCAAUCCUGUUGCUGGUGAUAGCAGCUAAACGUGGAUACAUGAGAGCUGGUAAACCUAGAGGGGGGAUGGUGUUACUGUUGCCACCACCUCCGCUACCUUCGGCACCACCCGCCGUGGAGAUGACGCCGCUUACAAGCACGCCGGAUACAAAAUAGACCGUCUGAUUAUGACAUUAAUAAUUCAAUAUUCAAUAACGGAAUGUCAUAUUUUGAACAGUAUUCUAAGAUAAUAGGUGUAAACAAAAUAAACUUUAUGAUUAUGAGAUUUAUAAUUCAAUAUUCAAUAAGAGACUGUCAUAUUUAGAUCAGUAUUGCAACUUUAACAUAACAGGUGUAUAAAUACGAAAUUUAACUACAUGAUUAUUUUAUUGAUGAUUAAAUUUAACAAGGGAAUAAUAAUAAAAAUUACGAUUACGAGAUUAAUAAUUCAAUAUUCAAUAAUGGAAUGUCAUAUUCUGAUUAGUAUUCUAACUCUAACAUAAUAGGUGUAUACAAAAUAAACCUUAUGAUUAUGUAAUUGAUAAUUCAAUAUUCAAUAACGGAAUGUCAUAUUCUGAUUAGUAUUCUAACUAUAAAAUAAUAGGUGUAUACAAAAUAGACCUUACGAUUAUGAGAUUGAUAAUUCAAUAUUCAAUAACGGAAUGUCUUAUUCUGAUUAGCAUUCUAACUAUAAAAUAAUAGGUGAAUACAAAAUAGACCUUAUGAUUAUGAGAUUGAUAAUUCAAAAUUCAAUAACUAAAUGUUAUGUUCUGAUCAGUAUUCUAACUCUAACAUAAUAGGUGUAUACAAAAUAGACCUUAUGAUUAUGAGAUUGACAAUACAAUAUUCAAUAACGGAAUGUCAUAUUCUGAUUAGUAUUCUAACUCUAACAUAAUAGGUGUAUACAAAAUAAACCUUAUGAUUAUGAGAUUAAUAAUUCAAUAUUCAAUAACGGAAUGUCAUAUUUUGAUUAGUAUUCUAACUGUAACAUAAUAGGUGUAUACAAAAUAGACCUUACGAUUAUGAGAUUUAUAUGAAUACAAUUUACAACGUACUGAAAGUUACAUAGAAGAUAUAAAAUGGUGCAUAUGAUUAUGUGUUUGAUUAUUUAAUAUAUAGUAAGAGAAUUCCAAUUCACUCCAUAAUAAAAUUAUGUAAUUUAAAUUCUACAUUUAAUAUGAAAUAUAUUCCAUUGAGCAUUCCAAAUCAAUGUAAAUAUAAUAUAUGUAAAUAUUAUUUAUUUGAUUUCUGAUUACUAAAUUAUCAAUAAGAGAGUGUCAUAUAUUCUGAUCAGUAUUUGAGAAUAUCCACAUUGCAAAAUAUAUAAAAUGAAUUAUAUACCAUUACCUAUAAUUAUGUCAUUGAUAUUUUCAACGUAAAGAGCAAAACAAUGGGUUUAAACGUAAAAAAAAAAUACUCAAAAUGGUAUCCAUGUGUAUGACAUAAAAAAAUUAAAUUAAAUUGAAAAUGUUUAUUCAUUUAAUUACGCAUAUUUUUUUUUCACAACUACUAAUGUGUAAAUUUAAACCAUUUGAAAAUAAUUAAGAAAAUUUUGUUAGAAUUAGAAUGCAAAUGUGCCAAAAAUUAUUAUGUUGGAGUAGGUGCAAAGGUGUUCGAGUGGCAAGUGCUCCAUCAACAAGAGCGCAGCUCUUAAAUAGGAUAGAUAGAUAGAUGCAAACAAUGAUUAAAAGGAGAAUCUCUUUCGAUGUUAAGAAUUACAAGUGUUAUUCUUAUCAGGUAUUUUUUUUGAUGGGUGAUUAGGUAUGGUAACCCCGCCUGCGCUAACGGGAUACGCUGGCGGGGCACCGGUGAAGGGUGAUAGAUGAGAAUGAAAACAGGCCAGUUAGCCCGUCAUGAUGAAUUCAUCUGGAAUUAACCAUGAUAGUUUCCAGGGGGAACCGCGAGAAGUCGACUUGGUCGGGUAUAUUGCUAGCAAUGGGAUUCUCAGUCUCCAUUACUAACAAUCCCUUUCCCCCCUAUUUUUAUUAGGUUAUCAUUGUUAAAUAAUGUAUAAACUUUACGAAGAGGGAUUGUAAUGUUGUAUAUGUACUUAAUUAAACCAUUUAGUCCAUGUA